AAAAUGUAGCAUAAUAUAAUGCAUUUCACUUACACUGAAAAAAUACUUGUUAAAAGUCGUUUUUA
rnacentral:tRNA from 1 species